CCCCUAGAUGUUCUGGGCCGCACGCGCGCUACACUGAACAGUUCAACAAGUCUUAACCUUGGCCGAUAGGUCUGGGUAAUCUUUGAACGCUGUUCGUGAUUGGGAUAGACCGUUGCAAUUAUGGGUCUUCAACGAGGAAUUCCUAGUAAACGCAAGUCAUCAGCUUGCAUUGAUUACGUCCCUGCCCUUUGUACACACCGCCCGUCGCACCUACCGAUUGAAUGGUCCGGUGAAAUCUCGGGACGGCGGCUUGGUCGCUUGCGUCCGACUGCUGAAACUUGAUUAAACCAUAUCAUUUAGAGGAAGGUGAANUCGUAACA
rnacentral:rRNA from 1 species